rnacentral:lncRNA from 1 species
CUUUUUAUAGCUUUGAAGAAGCUUAAACUAAAGAAGGAUAAAGUUUAUCCCAUGGAGUCCAUCCUUUGUAUCAAUAGCACUUAGGCUUUGUUGUUAAUUGUGACCACCCUUCAGAAUGUGGAAAACACGCCAAUGGGAAGCUUAGCUUCAUGGCAGUUCUGCUUUGGCCUUGGGCUGGACACCCACUUAUGCACAGUAUGACUCAAACUCCCUUCUUGUAACGCCUUAUCUCUAGACACCAUUCUCCAUGAAUCCCUUUCUUUAUUCGUAAUCAUUUCUAAUCCUCAUGCUCCUCUGUCUGACCUUCUCUUCCCACAAAAAUCCAGAAAGUAUGCACUUAAUAAACAAACAGAUCCAUUGACAAAGAUAGAUGUAUUCAGGGAAGCUUUACCAAAAUUCAACUUCAAACUGGUAUUUAAUAAAAUUCCAGCCAAAAUGCUCAUUUGUAACUCUAGCCAACUAUUUUAUUGAAACCAACUUGAAGCCAAACAUUUUCUGAAUGCCUACAAGGCUACAAAAAUAAUAAAUAAUGUUUGGCUCUCUUUCAAACCUUGGAGGAUUCAGUCUCGAUCACAGAAAGAACAAGAAGACAAGGUAAAAGGAAAUAGACCUGAGAAAGGUUAUGGCUUGGCUAGUGACCCCCCAACCAGAAAUCAAACAGUAGUUCAUUUGGAGAGCUUUCAGGCAUUCAAUACAACUGCUAGGAAAUCAGGAUACAGAAAAGAAACAUUGAUUGGGUUCUUAUGAGUCCUCUUAUAUACCAGCACUUUUCCAAUUGACUUUUGUAGAUUCCCUGCCUUUAAGUUAAUUUCCAAAAAAGGGGAUGUUUAAGACAACUGAAUGUGACAAAAUUAGUAAAAUUCCAG